AAGCCUUCUGCGUAAAGAUGGACUUGCAGGAA
rnacentral:piRNA from 1 species